AGUCGAGCGGCAGCGGGAAAAGUAGCUUGCUACUUUUGCCGGCCAUUUUGCGGACGGGUGAGUAAUGCCUGGGGAUCUGCCCAGUCUAGGGGGAUAACUACUGGAAACGGUAUCUAAUACCGCAUACACCCUACGGGGGAAAGCAGGGGACCUUCGGGCCUUGCGCGAUUGGAUGAACCCAGGUGGGAUUAGCUGGUUGGUGAGGUAAUGGCUCACCGAGGCGACAAUCCCUAGCUGGUCUGAAAAGGAUGAUCACUCCACACUGGAACUGAGACACGGUCCACACUCCUACGGGACGCAGCAGUGGGGAAUAUUUGCACAAUGGGGGAAACCCUGAUGCAGCCUUGCCGCGUGUGUUAAAAAGGCCUUUAGGGUUGUAAAACCACCUUUCAACAAAGAACAUAGGUUGGUAGCUAAAAACUGCCCGCUGUGACAUUAUUCACACAAGUACCCUCGGCUAUCUCUCGUCCCAUAACCCGCGGUAAUACGGAAGGGUGCACGCGAUUUAUUCAGAAUUUACAGGGUCAUAAACCCUCACGCAGGUCGUUACAUAAAUCAAUAUGUGAAACCCCCGGGCUCAACCCGGG
rnacentral:rRNA from 1 species